UAGCAUGACUUGAAUCUUCAGGGGGAGCAAGUGUAUAAAUCCUCCGGGGGUAAGAAUAAAGGAAAGGUUGAAAGGAGGAUGAGGAGAGAAACGAGAAUAUUAGCCGCGAAGAGCAAGAUCACACUUUUCACAUGUUCCUGAUUCAGUGAAGCCAAAAAAUUACUGUAGAAUAAACGAGGGUUAUGGCGCCUCGCCCUCCUUCGUACAACAUCCAAAUUCUACGUAUCCGGAACAGGGAGAGGAAAAGGAGCUGGAGCUUACGGGUGGAUGUUAAUUUUGUGUUCACAUGAAUAGUCCUCGCACUACGUACAUUGCUCUUCCCUUUGAUUCAGGUAGCAUUCCAUCUCAUGGAGGAAUAAAAUGGACGGAAGAGAUCAUCAGUUGACUACGUUAUUAAUAGCCUGCUGGCAGAUACUCAGCCAUUGUGGUAUAUCAUUUGUUGAGAAGGAGGUACACUCUCUUCUACGAGAGGCAGGAUCCAAGGUUUUUGGCAUACUGACCAAUGUCUGAACUCAUGGAUCGUGCAGCUGCAGAUGAUGUUCGUUUUUUUCCUUGCGUAUACCACAAAAUGAUGGCAAGUGAACGUUCUCUGGGGGCAACUAACCAUUCGUGGAGCUCUCUAUGUCGAUGUUUUUUGCAUCAAUGAUAAUCAAUAUGCAGACUGACCAAUUAUUCCUUCUAUACCAGGUGAUCUUCGAGAGCUGGACUGUGGCCACACAACCGCGUCAGGGUAUUAAUAUUAUGAUGUUUGUGCACAUAUACUGUUGUAUUGCAGAGAGAAAAUGAUCUUUUACAAAGCCAUUGCAUGGAAGCGGCAAAUCUCUAGAAGAAGGCUAAUAUCUGAUUUUUCUACUUGAAGCUUGAGAAUCACUAUAUUUUUGUCUAAUUUGGGCACCUAUAGCACAUAACACGUGAGCAUUCUACUUUUCUGUCUUCAAUAUUGUUAACCAUGUCUUCCUACUACAUUUAGAAUUUAAAUAUCAUACAAUAUUUUUUAGAUGUCUCAGUUUUGAUUUAUAUCUGUAUCUGAGUGACAUUGCAACUUGGACAUCUGCUGGUAUAUUUGAUGCAUCGCAGCUUUAUACUUGCCUCCAUGCAUGGCUGAGAUACCCAAUUUUUGUGAUAGACAUUUGAAUUUCCAGGAACAAAAUCUGCUUGUUGAUAAAUGCGAAGGUUAUAUUAUGGACUGACAAAACACUAUGACUACUCUUGAACCACAGUAAAUGUUGUUCAUAGUGCACUACCACAAUAUAUGCAAUCAACAAGGCAUGCAUAUUCUUCUACAACAUCAAUGUGGAAGAGAGCAUCCUGGAAGAGGAGGUUCUGUCAGUGCUUAGUGUUCCACCUGGAAAAUGGGUUGUAUUAUUGGUAGAAAAGGAUCUUCAAUCUUAUCAAUCAAGGAAUCCUGCAAUGCUGAUAUAAUAAUUGGAGGAAAACAAGGACCAGAUAUGGUUAGUUAAGAGAAUCUUUAUUCAACAACCCGUGGGAUCAUCACAGGGACGAACAGAACACUCUACAAUUUAAAAUAUGAUUUCAGAAUGUUAACUUUGAUAUCACACCUGACUUUGGUUUCAGGAUUGGAUACAAACUUGAAUUUGGUUUUUCAUCAUAGGAUCUCUGGAACAGGUAAGGAAAGCAGAAGCCAUGAUAAGAGGCAAAAUCACGGGGAGUGCUUUCAAACUAACACUGCUGGAAUCUAAUGUCAAAAAACAAAAUCCUUAAGCGUAUCUACUUACUUCCUGAAGUAAUUAUCUUUAUACUUAGUGUUUUUUGAAUCUGAAAGGGAAAGAAACAACACAAAAAGAAAAUUCCAUGCUUUAGGGAAAUUUAUCAGAAAGUAUGAUUUAUGUCUCAACA